AUUGAACGCUGGCGGAAUGCUUUACACAUGCAAGUCGAGCGGCAGCACGGGGGCAACCCUGGUGGCGAGCGGCGAACGGGUGAGUAAUACAUCGGAACAUGCCCAGUCGUGGGGGAUAACACUUCGAAAGAAGUGCUAAUACCGCAUACGUCCUGAGGGGGAAAGCGGGGGAUCGCAAGACCUCGCGCGAUUGGAGUGGCCGAUGUCAGAUUAGCUAGUUGGUGGGGUAAAGGCCUACCAAGGCAACGAUCUGUAGCUGGUCUGAGAGGAUGAUCAGCCACACUGGGACUGAGACACGGCCCAGACUCCUACGGGAGGCAGCAGUGGGGAAUUUUGGACAAUGGGGGCAACCCUGAUCCAGCCAUUCCGCGUGAGUGAAGAAGGCCUUCGGGUUGUAAAGCUCUUUCGGCAGGAACGAAACGGUGAGCUCUAACAUAGCUUGCUAAUGACGGUACCUGAAGAAGAAGCACCGGCUAACUACGCG
rnacentral:rRNA from 1 species